UACGUAGGCAGCAAGCGUUGUUCGGAGUUACUGGGCGUAAAGGGUGUGUAGGCGGCCUUCUAAGUUCGGUGUGAAAUCUCCCGGCUCAACCGGGAGGGUGCGCCGGAAACUGGCAGGCUAGAGUGUGGGAUGGGAAAGUGGAAUUCCUGGUGUAGCGGUGAAAUGCGUAGAUAUCAGGAGGAACAUCCGUGGCGAAGGCGGCGUCUCUGGGACGGUACUGACGCUGAGACGCGAAAGCGUGGGGAGCGAACAGG
rnacentral:rRNA from 1 species